rnacentral:rRNA from 1 species
AUUGAACGCUGGCGGCAGGCUUAACACAUGCAAGUCGAACGAUGAUUAUCUAGCUUGCUAGAUAUGAUUAGUGGCGGACGGGUGAGUAACAUUUAGGAAUCUGCCUAGUAGUGGGGGAUAGCUCGGGGAAACUCGAAUUAAUACCGCAUACGACCUACGGGUGAAAGGGGGCGCAAGCUCUUGCUAUUAGAUGAGCCUAAAUCAGAUUAGCUAGUUGGUGGGGUAAAGGCCCACCAAGGCGACGAUCUGUAACUGGUCUGAGAGGAUGAUCAGUCACACCGGAACUGAGACACGGUCCGGACUCCUACGGGAGGCAGCAGUGGGGAAUAUUGGACAAUGGGGGCAACCCUGAUCCAGCCAUGCCGCGUGUGUGAAGAAGGCCUUUUGGUUGUAAAGCACUUUAAGCAGGGAGGAGAGGCUAAUGGUUAAUACCCAUUAGAUUAGACGUUACCUGCAGAAUAAGCACCGGCUAACUCUGUGCCAGCAGCCGCGGUAAUACAGAGGGUGCGAGCGUUAAUCGGAAUUACUGGGCGUAAAGCGAGUGUAGGUGGCUCAUUAAGUCACAUGUGAAAUCCCCGGGCUUAACCUGGGAACUGCAUGUGAUACUGGUGGUGCUAGAAUAUGUGAGAGGGAAGUAGAAUUCCAGGUGUAGCGGUGAAAUGCGUAGAGAUCUGGAGGAAUACCGAUGGCGAAGGCAGCUUCCUGGCAUAAUAUUGACACUGAGAUUCGAAAGCGUGGGUAGCAAACAGGAUUAGAUACCCUGGUAGUCCACGCCGUAAACGAUGGUCUACUAGCCGUUGGGGUCCUUGAGACUUUAGUGGCGCAGUUAACGCGAUAAGUAGACCGCCUGGGGAGUACGGCCGCAAGGUUAAAACUCAAAUGAAUUGACGGGGGCCCGCACAAGCGGUGGAGCAUGUGGUUUAAUUCGAUGCAACGCGAAGAACCUUACCUGGUCUUGACAUAGUGAGAAUCCUGCAGAGAUGCGGGAGUGCCUUCGGGAAUUCACAUACAGGUGCUGCAUGGCUGUCGUCAGCUCGUGUCGUGAGAUGUUGGGUUAAGUCCCGCAACGAGCGCAACCCUUUUCCUUAUUUGCCAGCGGGUUAAGCCGGGAACUUUAAGGAUACUGCCAGUGACAAACUGGAGGAAGGCGGGGACGACGUCAAGUCAUCAUGGCCCUUACGACCAGGGCUACACACGUGCUACAAUGGUUGGUACAGAGGGUUGCUACACAGCGAUGUGAUGCUAAUCUCAAAAAGCCUAUCGUAGUCCGGAUUGGAGUCUGCAACUCGACUCCAUGAAGUCGGAAUCGCUAGUAAUCGCAGAUCAGAAUGCUGCGGUGAAUACGUUCCCGGGCCU